rnacentral:rRNA from 1 species
AAUAUUGGUCAAUGGGGGCAACCCUGAUCCAGCCAUGCCGCGUGUGUGAAGAAGGUCUUCGUAUUGUAAAGCACUUUAAGUUGGGAGGAAGGGCUUUAGGUUAAUACCCUGAAGAUUUGACGUGACCAACAGAAUUAGUAUCUGCUAACUCGGAGCUAGCAGCCGCGGUAAUACAGAGGGUGCAAGCGUUAAUCGGAAUUACUGGGCGUAAAGCGCGCGUAGGUGGUUCAGUAAGAUGGGUGUGAAAUCCCCGGGCUUAACCUGGGAACUGCUUUCAUAACUGCUGAGCUAGAGUACGGUAGAGGGUAGUGGAAUUUCCUGUGUAGCGGUGAAAUGCGUAGAUAUAGGAAGGAACACCAGUGGCGAAGGCGACUACCUGGACUGAUACUGACACUGAGGUGCGAAAGCGUGGGGAGCAAAC